rnacentral:rRNA from 1 species
CCACCCGGUAAGCCUAAAUACUUAUGAUGACCGAUAGCGGAUAGUACCGUGAGGGAAUGGUGAAAAGUACCCCGGGAGGGGAGUGAAAUAGUACCUGAAACCGUGUGCUUACAAUCCGUCAGAGCCUUGUUUGUUAGGUGAUGGCGUGCCUUUUGAAGAAUGAGCCUGCGAGUCAGCGGCAUGUCGCGAGGUUAACCCGUGUGGGGUAGUCGUAGCGAAAGCGAAUCCUAAUGAGGGUGUUUGUUAGUGGCAUGUC